ensembl:lncRNA
GAACGAGUCUUUUGUGCUUGGCAGCUCCCCUCACUUUGGUCACUUUUUGCCAAGGAUAUGAGCCAAGCAAGAUGCCCAAAGGAAAGAAGGCCCAGGGGAAGAAAGUGGUCCCGGCCCCUGCCAUGGUCAAGAAACAGGAGGCCAAAAAGGCGGUCAGUUCUUUGAGAAAAGGCCCAAGAACUUCGGCAUUGGGUAGGACACCCAGCCCAAAAGAGAUCUCACAUGUUUGUUCAAAUGGCCCCCCUACAUCAGGCUGCAGCAGCAAAGAUCCAUCCUCUAUAAGCGACUCAUACAGUACCUCCUGCUAUCAGUCAGUUUCCCCAGGCCCUGGAGAGGCAAACAGCGACUCAGUUGCUUAAGCUUGUCCACAAGUACAGGCCAGAGACAAAGCAGGAGAAGAAGCUGGCCCGCACUGAGAAGAAAGCUGCUGGCAAAGGGGACGUCCCAACUAAGAGAUCACCUGUCCUUAGGUCAAAACAGUCACCACCUUGGUGGAGAAGAAGAAGGCUCAACUGGUGGUGAUUGCCGGUGAUGUAGACCCCAUUGAGCUGGUGGUUUUCCUGCCUGCCCUGUGUCGAAGGAUGGGAGUGCCCUACUGCAUCAUCAAGGGAAAGGCCAGACUGGACGCCUGGUCCACAGGAAGACGUGCACCACUGUUGCCUUCACACAGCUCAACUCGGAAGACAAGGGUGCUCUGGAUAGGCUGGUGGAAGCUAUUAGGACCAAUUAUAAUGACAGAUAUGGCGAGAUCUGCCGCCACUGGGGAGGCAACGUCCUGGGUCCUAAGUCUGUGGCUCGCAUUGCCAAGCUGGAAAAGGCGAAGGCUAGAGAACUCGCCAUUAAACUGGGUUAAAUGUACACUUAAGUUUUCUGUACAUAAAUAUAAUUACAAAAUUAAAAAAAUAAUUGCAGCUCUUGCAGAUAUGGGAUCAAUAUUAAAGUUUUUGUAAUUACAA